rnacentral:rRNA from 1 species
UACGAAGGGGGCUAGCGUUGCUCGGAAUCACUGGGCGUAAAGCGCACGUAGGCGGAUCUUUAAGUCAGGGGUGAAAUCCCGAGGCUCAACCUCGGAACUGCCCUUGAUACUGGGGAUCUCGAGUCCGGAAGAGGUUGGUGGAACUCCGAGUGUAGAGGUGAAAUUCGUAGAUAUUCGGAAGAACACCAGCGGCGAAGGCGGCCAACUGGUCCGGCACUGACGCUGAGGUGCGAAAGCGUGGGGAGCAAACAGG